rnacentral:lncRNA from 1 species
CCCGCCUCAGCCUUCCAAGGUGCUGGGAUUAUAGGGGUGAGCCACCGUGCCUAGCCUAGUUUAUUUUUUUAAAGCAGUUAUUCCUAUCCCAUUUGGGCUCUGGUAUUUAUUCUCCUGAUCAGAAAUUAGCCAAGGCAGCAACUUGGGAGUCCUUUUAUUCCUUUUUAAAAAGACAUUCAAAUGAUACUGUAGAUUCCUUUGACUUUAUUUAAAAUUGCAUUUUUAUUUUUAUUUUUAUAAAGGAAGAAAUCUUGUUGAUAUUGUUAGAAACUACAUCCUUACUGCUUAGAAUAGUGCACAUUAUAAGUACCUCAAAAAUACAUAUUUUUUUAAAUGAAUGAAUCUGCAUUUCUGCUAAAAGUACUCAUUAACUGCAAGGUCAAUGUGAAUUAACAGUCUGAUGUGGCUCUCCUAAAACCCAAAUGCCAUUUUAGGCUGCAAUAAUGGAGGUGUCAGAUCCAGGAUAAAUGAAGAACAUAAUUCAUUCUACUCUUAGUUUUUUGGAGUAUAACACUUAGUUAAAUAUAGUACCACACAGCAGGAAAGACUGAUAUUAAUACAUUUUAGUGCAGUGUUUCUAACUUUCUUUUUCCAUCCUGGUGACCCCAGAAAAUGGUAAUAUUUGUAAGAUACAAAUGGGUAAAAAAGGCUUUGCUUAUCUCAGGGCUGGGGGACUAAGACGCUGUCAAGAACUAACAAAUUUCUCUUAGUUGCUCUUUAAAUGUUGAUAAUGAGAGAAUAUUUUUAUGACAAAGGAGAGAGACUUUUUUAUUCUAAAAAAUCUGUAAUACUCAGGAAACAACAUAAAAUGAUUAUAAUGCUUUCUCUCAUGCACACCCCAAUGCCAUGACACUCACAGAAAAUAAUAUGUUGGCACACUUGUAACACCCAGUUUGAGAAGCUGUAGUCUAUUGUGUCAGUAGAAAACCAGCUGGGAUGGGCGAGGGAAACAGAAGCCACAGAAUUAGUCAUUAUACAGGCCACAAUUAAUCCAGCACCUCUAAUGUAAGGCACUUUGCAUAUAUGAACUCAUUAAUCCAUUUAUCAAUAAAAUGGGAUGGUGUUAUUUUCUCUGCUUUCUCAUUAAGGAAACAGAGACUUAGAGACAUUUAAUAUUGUAUCUAGGUUUGUGUAAGUGCUUUAUGGUGAGCUGGAUUUUGAAUCUAGGACUGACCCCAAAUCCCAUGUUAUUUUCUCUGCAAAAUAGCAAGACAGAAAGGGCUUCUAUAUGUACACCUGUCUUCAAAUGUAAAAGGACUGCUAGGUGGCAGAGAGAUUAGAAAUUUCUGAUGCUCCAAGAAGUUGAUCUCUUACCUAUGAGUGGAAUAAUGAAGGGGGACAGACUCUAUUUCAGAAUAAUGAAGAAAUGACUAUCUUAUGAAGGUAGAAUUCUCUACCACAGAUGGUGUUUAGCACAUGACUACUUCUUAGGGAGUUUUAGAAGAAACUCCUAUUUGGAUGACCCCUGACUUUGCUUCCAACUUCCAGUAUGAUGUUAUAGUAAGUAAAAAGCAUGAGACAAAUCUGUUAGAAAUACUGUUUCUUUUACAUGAACUUUCUCAGGAAGGAUUUGUAUUUUAGACUAAUUGCAUGUGGAUAAAGAGCUGACUUCCAAGAUAAAAGGCUCAAUAGUUCUCCAAAGAGUUUACAAGUGCCUUUCUUUGAAGACUGCCCUAUUAUUUUGGAGCUUCCAAGACCUGGUCAGAAAUGCAUACAUUCUCAAAAAUCAAAAUACAAUCCCAAACCUCCAUCAUCAGCAAGGUUGCAGUAUAAUAAAGAGGCUCUAUUACUUUCCUCAAUCCUUCUCAAAGUGAAUGGACAUCAAUUAACAAGAAAUCUUAGAAUCAUUAGAUUACCCUACUAUAGACAAUGGUUUAAGGCAAUUUUAAUGUGAUUCUGUUGUGUGUGUAAGAUAAAUAUUAUAUUUAUUUUCAAAUUUCCUCCUGUGUUUUACUACAUUUUGGGGGAGGAAAUGCCCUUUUCAUCUUCCCACAAUCUCUUUCAUAGACACCCUUUCAAUUUUUGUUUUAGAAUACAUCUCCUCUAAUAAAUCAAGGGUUUUCUAGGAAGCACACUUUUGUCCUGGACAGAGCACAGGAAAAUUAAAUAAAGGGCUGGCUACUGAUCAGUAAAGAGAAAUCGUAGAGCCAGGUAACAUCACUGCUGCUGUCUCCACCACUGUCUUCUCUGCCUUUGCCCCAUCUCUCCCUUUCUCCUCUUUACUUCCUUCCAGCCAAGCAAUUGGUGCCCCAUUCAACCUCCAGUCCUGUGAGGAGUCUGAAAUGAUUCUGGACUUGCAGUGACUGUUUCCUUUAUUCUUUAUUCCCCAAACCAAGGAUAAUUAUGAGACAAACCUAGGCCAGGCAUGGUGGCUCACGCCUAUAAUCCCAGCACUUUGGGAGGUCGAGGCAGGAGGAUUGCUUGAGUCCAGGAUCAAGACCAGCCUGGACAACAUAGUGAGAUCCCAUCUCUACCAAAAAAAAAAAAAAAUAGCCAGGCAUAGUGGUCUGUGCCUGUUGUCUCAGCUACUUGGGAGGCAGAGGUGGGAGGAUCACUUGAGCCCAAGAGUUCCAGGCUAUAGUGAGCUAGGAUCAUACCACUGCACUCCAGCCUGGGCAGCAGAGUGAGUCACCAUCUCUUGAGACAGAAAGAGAGAGAGAGAGAGAGAGAAUCUUAACCGUUACAGAGAAGAAAAUUCUAGAUAGGGAUGUGGCCUUUCAGUCACUUGCAAAUGAUCUCCUUUUCCUUGGCUGCAAGUAUCUUUCAUUAUAAAGAAGAAUGAUUGAAGUCAGAGAGAAAUUUUAGUGGAUCUGGAUUGCAGAUAAUUCUGUCAUUAGUGGCAUUAAUUAUUGUGCAAGUUUCUUAUCCAGAUUCCCUCAUCUGUACUACAUUCCCUCACCUAUACAUUGGUGGUAACUGAUAGGGUUGUUGGGGGGAUUAAAUGGGAAAAUGGGAUAGAUCUUGUAAAAUACUCAGCAUAGUGCCUGACAUAGUAUUAAAUGUUAACCAUUAUUAGUAUCAUUAGUUUAUCAGUAUAUAGAAUUAAAGGAAAUACAUACCUAAGGAAGUAUAACACUAAUAUGUAAAAAGGUAGCUUUGCUGCCUUUUAUACCUGUGCACUUACAUUUCUUUGAGAUUUUAGGUUACUGUGCAUUGUUUUUCUGUUGGUGUACUUGCUUCAAUACAUUGAGAAAAUAAACUAAUGAAUAUUAAUCUAUUAAAUAUCCCUCUAAAGUAUAUACAACAUGGUUAAAUGCUUUGUAAAGCCUCAUCAAACCUAAGGCUAUUAAAAUUGUUUUCCCUGAAAGUAUGUUUUACGUUUUAAAUACACAUAUUAUCUUUAAAAAGUAGUUACUAUCUUUUAGUCAGUGCUGGAACCUCUAAUUCUAAAGUCUGGAGACAUACUGCUACUGCCACUGAAGUCUGCAAGUGGAUUGGCAUGCUCCUAAGAAGCGUGGGCAUAGUUCAGAAAAUUAUCUUAGAAGGCAAAGAAGAACACUCUGUAAAUGGAGUUGGAAAUCUUUAUAUUGAGCUGAUAGUUCUGUAUCUUAAGAUUAACAAUCUUCUAGACACUAAAAUUAUUCAAACUCAAGACAAUCCCUGAUGAAUUAGUUUAAUUGCCCUGAUGUGGGCCAAAGAUUAAGGUUACAUACAUUCUCAUUGAGAGAGCCAUGUCACUUUUUAUUAAAUUUCAGACUCCUUCAGUUAGAUUUACACUGGGGUGUUUUUUCCCGUCUAACAACAUUUAGAUUUAACUUCUUGUUCACCUUUCUUACUACUUGUUUUUGUCUAGCAUGAUUUUUGUGCCUUCAGGUGCACAUGAAUUAUUUAUGUACCCACAUGAUUUUCUUCCUACAUCUCUACGCUGUGUUUUAAGUAAAAAGUUAUGAAGGAAUAUUAAAUAAGAUGAAAGCAAAACCAAGGGAAAUGCAAUAUAGUUGUGUGUAUGUACUGGUAAUGCUAACCAUCAAGUAUUACUGGACUCAGCUGAAAAAAGCAAAUAUGAGCUAUUCUGUAACUGCCUUCACCAGUUGCUCAUUUUGUAUUGCCCUAGGGCAAGAUUAGUUCCUAGAAGACAUCAUUCUGCAAUAUAACCCCUUCUCACCUUUAAUCUCCCGAGGCCCUUUCCUGCCCCAAAUACCAGGUAAUUUUACUAAAUCAUAAUGCAUUUUGUUAGCAGCAUGGGGAAAGGGACUAAAUGAAUGUUGGAUCAUCUAUUAUGCCAGUGGAUAAAUUACAAAGUGCCAUUUCUCCAAAUCAAAUGCAUUUGCAAAUCAAACCCUGCAGUAGCUGCAAAAAGCAGACAUUGCCUGACUCAUAUUUUACAGUUUCAGUUCUAAAUCUUUAGAAUGCCUUAAAAUGAAUGUAAAAAGACAUAAAUCUUCAGAAUGCCUUAAAAUGAAUGUAAAAAGUCAUAAAUCUUUAGAAUGCCUUUAAUUCCACAAAAACAAUUGUAUAUCUCCUUCCAUGCCAUUCACAGAGAGUAAAGAAAUUUGCUACACUUGCACUAUUCUAUCCUAACAAUUCAUAUCCCUAACAGGCCUUUCUCAGAGACCCAUCUCUCGCUUAAUCUUCUUCAAAAGCCAUAAAACUCAUGCUUUUUCUAUGAUGGAGAGACAACUUUAGUCCAAAAUCCCCAACUUUGAAUUUUCAUCUUCAAAAUAUCCUCGCUGUAGGGAGUAAACCCCUUCCUUGGCUUUCAAGUAAAAAAAAAAAAAAAUUGAAAAUGAAAAUGGUGUUUCAAGUAACUUGAUCCUAUGUAUCUCUGUAUCACUCAACACCUGUUUCUUUCUUCUAACCUCACAGUUUGCCCUAAAAUUUUUGGGUUUAAAACUAUAUCACAUCCAUCACAAAGUUGGAGAUCAGAAAAAGUGCCUUGAUAGGCCAUUGGGAAACCAUCUGCCGACUUUCAACUGGCUUCCAAGAAAGUGCAAAGUAAAACAUUUUAUUGGCUUGUAGUGUUAAGAAAAUGAGGCUGUAAGGCAUUAAGUCAACCACAACAAACCAGUGAUUUUGUUUUUCCUCUAAUACCUAAACCUGGUCCAAUAUAUCUAGUGAAAUCUUUUACUUCUUUUUCUUUGGCAAUGAAAGAGAACAUGCUUUCAUGUAAAAUGACCUCUGAAACAACAGUGCAGUAAUGUGGCCAGAGCAGUGUGUUUAGAGUCUGAAAAUCAAGAGUGACCUUGCUAUGUAAUCUUUGACAACUCUCUUACUCUCUGGGUGUCCUGUGAGUUGGAUUUCUCUUUCUGUAAAAUAUACACGGCCUUUUAUCUACUACAGUAGGAAUAGAAAAAAAAUUUGAGAACUCUCUUAGCAUUGCAUUUUUUGGGUAUGAGAAUUUUUAAUUUUUUAAGAGUCACAGCUCAUUUACUUUCAGAUUGUAUCUGUGUUGUGGUUUCAUUUUGCAGUCUCUGCAUAUCCACUAUUUUAGCUACUGAUAUUAUUCCAAAUUAUUUUUUGUCACCAAAACCAAAAAUAGUAGGUCCUGAAUAGCCACUAUAGGUCUUUAUGUUUUUCUUUAGUGUAGUACCUCUAGAGAGCAGUUUAUUUUAACUCUCUUCUUUUCUAGAUUGUUCAUGUUGGAAGGCAUACUUUCUGAACUCUUCUCAAGUGAUGAUAAAAUGGACUAGUUGAUAAAUCUUUCUGGUACAGGUUUUCAAAACUUCCAUCUAUCCACUGUGCUUUCAUGUUAAAGAAAGAAUGGAAACAUCAUCUCUAAAACAAGAUAAACAGCUCUGGGGCUGAGGAGGCCAGCCUGCUACUGGGUAGUUUUGAUAUCAGAAGUAUUUCAAAACCUCUCCCUUGUGGAGGAUGAGUUAUAUACCCACCCUGGGGCAUCAACAUGAAGCUGCUGCCCAGUGUGCCAUUGACGGAACGCUGCAGGUCGGACAGGCCGCUCCUGCUAAAGUGUAACUUAAGUUAUUCUCACAGAAGUACCAUCCCACAGAACCCACCCGGGGGACUGUGGUUCUACACUGACUCAGUGAUCAGAGUGGGGACAUUUUCUUAUCCUUCCAGAGACUGACAAGAGAGGGGACCUGAAGGUACCUUGAUCUCACAGCUGCAUCCUGAUACAUAUAUUUUUAAUACUGUGAUGGGAAUAAAUUACUCUGAGGCUCCCAAUAAUGGCUGUUUUUGUUUUGACAAAUGAGGCUCUGAGGUUAGAUCCCAUAAACCUCUACUUCCAUCAAUGGAGAUUGAAAUAUUCAUGUAAAUUAUCUGCAUAAAUUCAGUGUCAAUCUAUUCAGAUAAGGACCACGGUUGUUUUUAGAGAAAGAACUGGAACGUAAACAGGUGAUUUUCAAGGGCUUUCUUUUUACAAAUUGCCCGCUCGUUACAGAAGGGUGCUAUGAGAAGAGCAGACUGGGUGGGGUCAUGGCUCACUUCUGUUUCCAGUGACUCCAUUUUCUAUGACUUCUCAGCCUUUUCAUGGGCCAGGAGGUUGAGCUGAAAGCAGCUUUGGCCACGUAAAUGAUGUUGGGGCACAGGCAUUUUAGGAGGUGUGGAGGAUGUAGUGGCUACCAAGGUAAAUAAAUCCUCUUUUCUCAGAAUACUGGCUAUGUGAAAAUUACGGCUUUUCUCUUUUUUCAAGGUUUUUGUAAAAUUGCUCUUGGAUUGAUUGCAUGAAUUUUGUUGUUGUGUUUCCUUUUAUAAUUUUUGACCUUCAGAGCUCAAAGAGGCGAUCUCAUUUGCACAACACUAAAAGAUGCAGGUUAUUCCAUUGUGUUGUGUGUGUGUUUUUUUGUUUUGUUUUGUUUUUGAGGCAGAGUCUCACCCUGUCGCCCAGGCUGGAGUGCAAUGGCCCAAUCUCAGCUCAAUGCAACCUCCGCCUCCUGGGUUCAAGUGAUUCUCCUGCUUCAGCCACCGAAGUAGCUGGAGUUACAGGCAUGCGCCACCACGCCUAGCUAAUUUUUGUAUUUUUAGUAGAGAUGGGGUUUCAUCAUGUUGGCCAGGCUGGUCUCCACCUCCUGACUUCUGGUGAUCCACCCGCCUCUGCCUCCCAAAGUGCUGGGGAUUACAGGCGUGAGCCACCACGCCCGGCUGUGUGUGUGUUUUUAAAAAAGCUUUAUAACAAAUGUAUACAUGCAGCUGACAGAGUAAUAGUCUUAUUUUACAUGUGUGUUAAGUCUCUUAAUGCUAACACUAAAUGCAAAACAGGUGCUGGAAAGAGCCUAAAGCAAUUAUAGUAGGGAUGACACAUCAGUAGUUGUUAUAAUGACUUAACAAUUAAGGGUUCACUGAAAUUCUUGUCAAACUCAGGAGACUGCUCAGCAUCAUCAUCAUCUUGUGGAAGUGCAACAAUUAAGCUCUUGCUUUGCUAUGUUGUUAUUCAGAACUGAAAACGCCCUUUGGAUUAAUUUUUCUUCAUUUCCCAGCCUGCUCAUUUUAUUGAAUGACGUGGUUAUGGGACCCUGGUAAGUUUUGAUUCGCCUUCUGUUAAGAGGUUUAUUUUUACCUACUUUCUAUUAAAGGCCCCUUACCCCCAGCUUAAGCCAUAGAUGAAAUUACAUGUUUUGCAAACUAUGCUCGAGUCACAUAUGUCUUCAUUUCAUAACAUUAUAUAGACCAUAUCUACUGUAAUUCUUUUUAUUAUCAGUACUGAAAUUCUGACAGUUUUGGUGGAAGUUAAAACAGACUCAAAGACAGUUGAAAAUCCUUUCAAAGACUCAAAAUGUAAACCUAAUUUUUACCAAUAUUAAUUUAUACAAUGGUAGAAGUUAAGUUUGAUUUCUUCUUCCAGAUGCUAAAGUUCCGGUUAGCAUCACUUCUCUUAUUCUCUUUCUUGUUCUUUUUAAAAAAUCUGUCUUGGAUAAGAUGUCAGUUACAUGUGUGCUAUUCCUGCUUUCACUUAAAGGUUAAAAUUAAGUCUUUUGUUUGUUCCGACUGCAAUUCAUUCCUGGCAUUGGAUAAGAGCUAAGCUAUUGCUUCUCCAAGUUCUUCCCACAAUAAAGGUGGAAGUAACAGUAAAAUGAUUACUAGCUUUUCUAAUGUGAAUUAUAAUACACCUGACAAAACAAAUUCACUUUAAUAUAAAGUGGGAUGUAGAAUUUUAUUUCAUCAGCCACUUGUCAAACUAACUCACUUAGAAACUCUAACGUUGUUUUUAACCUUUGCAUUAAUGUUGCUUUUCAUUUUCAUUAUCAAAAAAUUCAUCAAGUUUCAAAUGACGUGCCCUUUCUAGGGGUUAUGUAUGCUUUCACUUUUUAAUAGCAAUUAAUAUACUGUGUGAAAAGUAUUACUUCAUUUUAUCUACUCUAGUUUUUUGAGGUUAGAGUUACACUCAAUUCAGCAUGUUCUAGAACUAGGUACUAGGAAAAAUACCCUUCUUUCUGGUUACUCUUAUGCAACCUAGAGUCAUCUUUAUUAUGAAAGUACAUUGGGCAUUGGCAAAAAUAAAACUAACCUCUUAAUCUUAGAGUAUAAGAUUAGGUGUGUAGUAAAUAUCUUUAAAAUACUUAGCAACUUGAAAAACAGCAACAAAGAACUUUUUUUAGGUGACUCUUACUUAUUAUAAACUACUCUGCAAUUAGGCAACCGAGACCCUAAGGAUUUUAAGAUUACAAAGUGGUUAAUGGGAAGAAAAUCUGGCUUUCAGACUCCUUGUUCUGUGUUUCAUAACCAGAUGAAGAAGGGGCUACAGCCCUCAUCGUCUAAGGACAGUCUCUCCAUUCAGCUUUUCUGAAUAGAGACCUCAUGGUUUUCUUCCUGUUACUGAAGAACCUCUGUGGUGUGACUUUUCCUUGACUAUCUGAAACAAUUUACACACCCUCCCUGCCAUGCCUUCACUUCAGUCCAUCUUCCAUCCGUGAACACACCGGGCCCGAUCCUGUUCCUUCCUUGUGCCCCACCCUUCUCCCCCACAUCUUGCUGGCUGUUCUUUUUCACCACUUGGUUUUUCAUCCUUUAGAGUUCAGCUCUGGUCUUAUCUCCUCCAUUACCUACUAUUAACACCAACCUCUCCUUCCUCUGAACUCUAAAACUUACAGCUAUACUAUUUUAUAUUUUUAUUUUGUUUAUAUGUGGCUUUACAUUAUAUGAUCCUUAUGAACUAUAUUUUCUAUGUCUAUGUCUACCACUAGCAACACAAUAGUUUUAUACAUCUUAUAUAAUUUAAUUGAAGGGGCAGAAAUGGUCAAUGUGCUCCUUUGGUUCCCCUGUUCAUCAUCCCAUUUCUGGUGGUUUGAAUUGGAGACUACAAGCGAAAUGAAUCAGUCAGAGUACAGUCAGGAAAAAAGAACCCAGACCAAGUGGUUUCACUGAGAGAAUUUAACAUGGGGAACUUAAGAAGUGGGAAGUGCUAAAAAGGCAAACAGCAAAUGGUGAAGGCAGGUCUUUGCAAAAGUAGGAAGUUACCAUCACCUUUCUAGAGGAGGUGGUUUCACCACAGUUUAGGAGCUGGGGCUGCUCAGUGGGUGCUGCGACCACCAAGGGUAAGGCUUCCCCAGGGAAGCUGGGACCACGGAGGAGACACAAGCAAUAUCAGAAGUACUGGCCAAAGCGAGGAAUGGAGGAGCAUUCACUGGCUUCUCCCCGCCUACGUUCCAGACUCCUGCCAGUGAUGCUUACUAACCAAACUAAACAGAAGCCAGCUAGCAAAGAAGCACUGGUAAUGUGUUUUUCAGAAAUCAACCCUCUGUGAUACAGAGCAGAACAGGGGAAGCAGAAAAAAGAAAUCUAAGAGUAAAUGGGCAAAUGAUUAACAUGUUGAUAGAGCAGAAUUGAACACAUUCAAAGCUAUUCUACAUGUGGUGGAAACUACAAAUAAUUCAAUAGCUCAUAAGUAACUUGUUUCCAACAUCUUUCCUGGAAUUACUAUUUCUGAAUGAUCACAAGUUAAUAAUUUAGACUUCUUAAAUAAUUUAUAAUCCCUUUUAUUUUAUUAUAAAUUAUAAAAUACAAAGUAUUUCUGUCUAUCCUUGGCCUGUUUCAAAGGAUUGCAACUAUUCUCGCAUCCAAAUGUAACAUAUAAAGAAAUGAUUUCCAAAAUGUAUUUUCUAAUUUAAUCCAAUCUCCUAAAUUGUAGCCACUCCCCAAAUUACACCUAUUCAAUAUAUUUUCCAUCUACUAACAUAUCUAAAACUAAUCUCAUCCUUUUGUAAUUAGCUGAGACUUUUUCAUUUAAAAGUGAUAGAAAUCCAACUCAAACUAGCAUAAGCAAAGUAGGAAACAUAUAGGCUUAAUCUAACUGGGAAAUCUAAAUCUAAAUCUUGUAUUUCAGGCAUAGCAGAAUCCAGGAGCUUAAACGAUAUUAUUUAAAUUCAUUCUCUCUCUCUUGUUCACUCACUCUCCUCUGCCUGCCUUUGUUUAAUUUUGCUCUCAGACAGGCUAGCUUCAUGCGUGAUAUGCGUAGAAUUCCUGCAGGAUCGCAUGCCCACCUAGAGAACCAUUCCCUGAGGCCAAGUAUACAGUGGAUUCUGAUUGGCCAGACCUAGAGCUACUACAAAGGACUACAGAGUUCUUACGUGAAUCUGCUCAAGAUUUGCUGUGACUUGCUGUAGAAGAGUGGGUACAGAGGAAAGGCCCUAUGAGGAUACAGCAAGAAGGCAGCCAUCUGCAAGUCAGGAAGAGACCUAUCAUCAGAAACCAACCAUGCUGGCACCUUGAUCUUGGACUUUGAGUCUCCAGAACUGUGAGAAAUAAAGUUGUUGUUUAAGCCACCUAGUCUCUGAUAUUCUGCUACAGCAGUUUGAGCAGAGUAAUAUAGUUGGCUAUCCAGUUAAACGCCCUAUCACCUACAGCCCCAUCCUCAUUGCCUACUUCCUUCUAGAGAGUGAGCUCCCAUAGAUCUGGCUAAGUGAGUAGCAAGGAAGCAAUGUAAUCUUGCGACCUGAGAACAGCCAUUUAUCCCAGCUGUUCACACUUGAUCUAAGUUUGUCCAACAGAUUCACUCUAGGGGGAAUUUAAAGCAGGGACUUAGAAAUUCUAGUUAGUUUCUGUGAGAUGCCUUAAAAGAGAAAGUAUUUGAAGCCUGGGCUGUGGAACCAUGUGCAUGAAUAUUUUUGGGGAGAAGAAAAAGAAUAAAGUAGAUAUGCAAAUGUGUGAAGAGAGGAAGAGAUGCUAAUCCAUGAGAGUAGCCUAAGAGAGACUGGAGGAGGGACCUUGGCUGUGAACUCUGAAGUGCUGACUUCCAGUCUCUUAAGAGUCCCCAUUCAAGUUCUGUACUUGGUUUCUAUGAAAUAUCUCUGAUUUUUAACAAAAAUUCCUUUUUGCUUCAGCUGUCUCUAAGCAACUUCUGUUGUUUUGCAACCUGAUUCCUUAGUAAGACAUAUGGAAACAUGUAAAUCAAAGCCUAAAGUAUGAAUUAAGUAAAAAUUCCACAAUAAACAUAAGGUUGAUUCAUGAAUUUGCUAAUCAUUCUCCCUCACUGUGGAAAUAAUGAGAAUUUUAUUCUUAAUCUAUGGCAGUUAUAGGUCUCUAUAGGUUCAGUUAUUUUGAUUUCUUGUUCACAUUCUACAUUGUAAGUCUUUCUGAGGAAGAUCCUGCCGUGUGUUAACAAAGGUAAGAAGAAUAUAUUUCAUUUAUUCAUUUAAAAAAUAAUUGAAUAUGUGCUGUGGAGAAGUUCUGGUCUGGAAAAAAGUCUUGGGCAAGCACAUUUGAAUCAGAACUUGUUUCUCUCUGAAGUAUUUCAUGUUAACUGGUGGAAUAGUCACAGGAUACCCAGGUAUGACCACUCAGAUGGUUCUUUACAUAACUACAGGGGACACAUUCAAGAUUACUCUGGGCAGUAUGCUCUGGGGUGUGCAGUACACGAAUUUAUACCAAAUGUGGAGCCCUGAAAUGACUAAGCACAGCAAUAUGAUUAGUACUAUAAAAUAUAUAAACAAAGUCAUAUGAAGCACAAUUAGUUCUACAUGGGAAGGAAAGAACCAAAGGCAAUUGGUGAAGGCUACAUUGAAAAGUGAGACAUUUGAUGCAUGACUGGUAAUUUUCCAAGCAGAAUAGACAGAGAAUGUGGACAUUCCUAGCAUGGGAAAUAACAAAAAUGCAGACAAAGAGACAUAAAAAAAAUGCAUGGAGGGAAGGAUGGAGUAGGAACUCCCCAAAUCUGCUUAUCAUAAAAGCAAUGAGAACACUGGCAAAAAUGAAUAAAUAAAUAAAUAAAUAAAAAUCAACUUUAUCAGAGCUCUAGAAAUUAACUAAAGGCUUACAACAGUUCAUGGAGUAUAUGAUCAAGAAAAAUUGCAGAAUCUCAGAAAAAGUAGCAAGUCUUGUAGCAUUUUAACUUGCCCUAAUUCUAUAAUUCUCCCUAAGUUCUGUCAUAGCCUUGAAAACCAACAGAUUCAUAACAAUGGUAGCUGUGAAAACCAGAAGCUUAGCACCCACUGGAUGGAACAGAACAGUUUGGAGCUACACCAAAGUCCCAUGCCCAGAGAACUGUCAUUACUUGGCUUGUCUGGAAGCUCAUGGAAAAGUUCUAUUCUCAGAGUCAGGUCUAUGUGACCUGACUCAAAGCUUUGACUGUGUGAUGAUUCCUAUUUGCAAGACAAUAUAGCUCACAAACAGGAUACAAAGCAGUCGAUAGAAAUUGUCUUUGUGGAAGUCCAGAUGUUGGAGUUACUAGACAAACACUUUAAGCCCUCCAUUAUAAGCAUAUUCCAAGAAUUCCUUCAUUUAGGAUAUUGUAAAUUAUUAUGAGAAAAAACAGAGUUCUAUGGUCAAAUACAUUGAUGAUAUAAUGAGUUAAACAAUUUCUGCAUUGCAGGGUAUGUCAGUACCUUUCCUGUGCUAAUAUACAUAGUGAUCAUCUAAGAGCGAUGUAUUAUACAGCAUUUCCCAAACUUCUUUGACUAUAGAAAUAAAACAUCAGAAAACAUUUUAGAGCUUAUGGGGACAGUAAUGACUCUUCACAUGUAGUUUAGAAAAUACAGGCCUAGACCAUCAUCUCCUGUAAUAGGGUUAUUCCAAAGAUAGGAACACUGUCUUAUCUAAUUUGCAUGUCUCCUGGUACACUGUCCCAUACAUCCUCCUUGCUUUGUAAUUCUUUAAUGAAGGAAUAUAUACAAGUGGAAAAGCUAGAGGGGAAGAAAUAAUUAGAGGAAUAGCAACAUCAACAAAGCAGGAUAAAGACUUCUGGUUAGCCAGUCUCUCUUCUUCAUUCCCACCCUGGUUAUCCCCACCUGUAUAUGCUACAGGCAUCUCAUCUUAAGACCCAAACUGAUCUUAUCACAACGUGGGCUUCACAAAAGCACUUUGAAUUUUGUCAUUACCCUCCACCAUUUCCUGUCUUUUGUUGAUCCCUAAACCCAAAUCCAGCUGAGCUUCAAGUUCCCAUUUAACUCUGACUAGGAUUUGAUGGACUGACAUUCACACUCACCUGUCCAGUGUUUACCAUUCCCAGCCCUGGAAUACAACUCCUGACAUAUCUGCUUUCCUCCACUUCUCCUCUAUGUAAUACUUCAGAUCAGAAGGAAUUAUAGUGGUUGGGUCACUGAAGUUGUGCCGAGAACAAACCUGUCUCAGCCACAUUUAAUAGCGAUUUCAAAGAAGGUUCCUGUGGUUACCCUGAUCUAGGUAAUAUCUCUUCCAAACCUCCUGUACUUUUCAGUCAGUGACUCACCUCCAUUCUCCAGCUCUUUUCCCACUCUACUGAGCAGCAGAGAGAGUUAAACUAAAUAGCAAUACAGGGAAAGGGACAUUUUAUUUUAGAAUAUUUGGUGUGGGUAGGAUGAGAGCCAGUAGUAGAAGAGAUCUAAGCUAGGCAAGGGCACCUCAACCUAGUCCUAGAAACAAUGCAAUAUUAUCUAUUGAAGACUCCACCUCAGUGUUAUCACUGACAAGCAGAGAGUGCUGUGUUAAAACAACGCAGUGAAGACAAGAGGUUAAGAAGCUAAUGGUAAAGAAGAAAAACUAAAGGCAUUGAAAUAGCAACCGUUGUGAUGCAAAUUAAUCUUAUGUAAAUGUAGAAACUUGCUAGUUCUUUAGAGCUCUCUGACAAAUGUGCAUUUAAGCAACAACAGUCAAUUUUCCAGGAAACAUCUUUAUAGCAUAUUUUGAGUGGACCUUUUGAAUAAAGCAAUCAGAAAUGUUUGUUAUGACAAUGGAUAAUAAAACUGCCACUUGAAAGAAACUAGCAAUUGAGAGGGAGCAGCUUGACCAAAUAUGAAGAAGGUAAAAAAAUUCCAAUGGCUUGCUUUCACUGCCAGAGUAUCUGAAACACACUAAGAGCACUGUCAAGGGAGCUAUUCUUGAAUUUUAAUUCAGGUCCCCAACAUGUGUCUGUCUCUUGGUUUACUUGGGAGAAACCCUGAAGGCUCAGAUAGUCUUUGGAAUAAGGUCACUGUAGAAGACUGACAAGGGGUCCCUGGAUGAUAGAGAGGGCAGACAAUCCCUUCUCUCAUCAGUCAAUGGUGGCUGGUGGCUGUUAUUCACCCUUCUGAGAAACAGGACAAAACUGAUAAACUUCAAGAGCUGAAAAAAACACAUCAUAGAACAAUAAAGCACACUGAGCAUCCCAACACCCACAGCUGCAGGCAAGGUGCCAAAAUCUGUUAAGGCAAAAGUCACAGGCCCAGUGAAGCGAUGGAGAGUGGGCAGGCACUGGGCAGAAAGGGUGGGGGCAAAAUAAAGUAAUUGGAUCUGGUGAAAGAAGACAGGAAGGCUGAAGAAAAAGGUGAUCAAAAAUAUGAAUAUAGACAUAUACAUAUGCAACUUGUAUUUCUGCAUGUAAACAUCAAAUGUGACAAGUAUUUAUCGAACAGAAAUGCAGUAAAGCACGUUCCACAUCUGAAGGUUACAGUGCCACCAAUGUCCAUUCUAUUUGAGUUUAAGAUUAUCACUAUGAGUUACUGGACCCGUCUCCUUAUAUUUGCAUAGGUUUUUGAAUUUUAAUGACUUUGUUUUUUUCUUUUGAGAUGGAGUCUCACUGUAUCGCCCAGGCUGGAGUGCCAUGGUGCAAUCUCAGCUCACUGCAACCUCCCCUCCUGGGCUCAAGCAAUUCUCCUGCCUCAGCCUCCUGAGUAGCUGGGAUUACAGGCGCCCACCACCAUGCCCAGGUAAUUUUUGUGCUAUUAGUAGAGACGGAGUUUCACCAUAUUGGCCAGGCUGGUCUUGAACUCCUGACCUCAGGUGAUCCGCCUGCCUCAGCCUCCCAAAGUGCUGGGAUUACAGGCGUGAGCCACCGUGCCUGGCCUAAUAACUUAUAUUUGGUUAUCAUGGAGAUGAUAAAUUCAAAAUAUUUAUGUUUCUUUUUCCAACACCAAAUGAAACAAUAAAAUUUACACAUUGUCUCUGCUAAGUAUAAAACUGCAAAGGCUCCAAGAUUUUACUCUUAUUGAAAGAUAACAAGUUAAACUGCCCCAGCUUUAUCUACAUAUACUGACAUAAGAGCACAAGAUCCCUGAGCCUGCAAAACAGAUCAUUUAUUACUCCCUGCAAAAACCGCAGCCAAAGAGCAUCAUGUACUGGUUCCCACAUCCCAAUCACUGCAUAGUGAUGUGAUGAGGACCAGAUGUUACCUGUGUAUGCAGCAGGGUACAUCACAGGAGAGGAAUCCCCCAAUUCGGAGACUCUUAGCUAAAUUGGGCUCCUGGAGCAUCUUCCCAUCUCCUCCCCUC